rnacentral:rRNA from 1 species
GAAUGUCAUCCUAUCAGCACUAACGCAUUGGAUUCCAUCAGAACUCUGAAGUUAAGCAUGCUUGGGCGAGAGUGUAUUACUAGAAUGGAUGCCUCCUUGGAAGUCCUCGUGUUGCAUCAC